UACGGGGGGGGCAAGCGUUGUUCGGAAUUACUGGGCGUAAAGGGCUCGUAGGUGGCCAACUAAGUCAGACGUGAAAUCCCUCAGCUUAACUGGGGAACUGCAUCUGAUACUGGAUGGCUUGAGUUUGGGAGAGGGAUGCGGAAUUCCAGGUGUAGCGGUGAAAUGCGUAGAUAUCUGGAGGAACACCGGUGGCGAAGGCGGCAUCCUGGACCAACACUGACACUGAGGAGCGAAAGCCAGGGGAGCAAACGGG
rnacentral:rRNA from 1 species